CCCUUAGAUGUUCUGGGCCGCACGCGUGCUACACUGAGUGGAUCAGCGGGUCAGGUUGCGCGAAAGUGUUUCCUAAUCUUUAAAUCCGCUCGUGAUGGGGAUUGACGGUUGCAAUUUUCCGUCAUGAACGAGGAAUACCUUGUAAGCGCGGGUCAUCAUCCCGCGCUGAAUACGUCCCUGCCCUUUGUACACACCGCCCGUCGCUCCUACCGAUUGAACGUUUUAGUGAGGCAUUUGGACCGACGCAUCUCAGUUUAACCGCUGGUUUGUGUUGGAAAGACUUCCAAACUUGAGCGUUUAGAGGAAGUGAAAGUCGUAACA
rnacentral:rRNA from 1 species